AGAGCCUCGCCCCCUGGCUCCGCAGGUUGCGAGGGGGCAGGCUCCUAGGGAGCCCCACCCAGCGCCCAUGGAGAUUAAAUACUGCGCGUGCUCGGUUCUGUUGAGCGACUGCAGGUUACUAAGCGGCUCCUGGAGCAGAUUUGGUUAGAGAAUGUUGAGCAGGGCUGAAGUUUGCUGAUACUGUGUGCUGCUGGCUUUCAAGAAUUCUUGUAUCCUAGGCGUGAGUCCUCAUGCUUAAGUCUGCAUAAGAACAAUCCAGAAUUCUGGGCCAGAUGGAGAAACUGAAGCACAGAGAGGUUAUGUAGCUUGCCCAGGUUCAUGCAGCUGGUAAGAAUAGCAUCGGUGUCCAUGUUUUUGACACUCAAGAUGUUCUGUUGGGACAGCAUGCCAUUUGUCUUGAGUCACUCUUCACACUGCUGGUAAACGAUCUUCUUAAAAUAUCAUGGGAUUGCAUCAUCUAUCCAAAAGCCUUUCAUGGUAUUGAAUAGGAUUCAAAGCUCUCCUAAGCUAAGCCCCACCAAACACCAAAAGGUCUAUGCUGGAGUCCACAAAGGUACCACUUAUCAGUUCCCUCCUGCUUUAGUAAAAUAAUUAAAACUGAGCACACGGCUGCAUAGCAAGACUACAUUUUCUACCUACCUAUCGAUUAAGUGAGGCCAGAGGUCAUCGAAUGUGAGUGGAAGUGAAGAGAACCACUUUCUGAACUGGGAUUUAAGACAUUAGGAUUGCCCUCUUCUUAGAUGACCUGCUGCUGACCUCAGAUACCUACAGAGACUGUUGGUGCCUGUCAAAGAUGCUGUCACCUUCCACUCACCAAAAGUGCCUCUGUUCUCUCUCGUCUACUAAAGGUAGCAGUGCUGGAAGUCUUGCAUGGAAGUGGAAGGUCUGAUAGAUAUCUUUGCUGAAUAUAUUGGCACCUCUGGUCGGCAAGAUUGCUAGUGUUCCACUCUGUUUAUGCAGGCUCUGGUAGUAGCACUGGUGUGAUAAAGAUUUCAGAGCACCGACAGGUUCUCUACUGAAGUAGAAAGGAUCUUUUUAUGUCUUUUGUCUUAUAUUUCUACCUGGACUCCAAAGUCAUGCUUCCUGGUGUUGCCAGUAAGCAGAGACAAUUUAGGGAAGAAGCUUUUUGCAGAGAUGGCUAGCUGUUUGCUAAAAUUCCACUAUGUAGAAUGAAUGCCAAGAAGUAGCCACACACACUAAAAAAAUUCUGAGCCCCUGUACUCCACCUUUGCAUUUGGUGGAGUCACAGGACUCACUCACCCCGAUGUAAACAGAGCUGAUGUGUCUCGUUUCCGGGCCGUAGAGUUUAAGAAGUGGGGUGUGUCUCCUUCACAUUCUCUCUUUUCUCUUCUGCCAGCUCUAAUACCUCAAGGAAUGUCAGAACACAGGACAGAAGGAGCCAGUAACAUCCAUUCUGGACUGUUCUGGGAGCAAGAAAUACAUUUUCUGGGCUGGCGCAGUGGCUCAUGCCUAUAAUCCCAGCACUUUGGGAGGCUGAGGCAGGCAGAUUGCCUGAGUUCAGGAGUUUGUGACCGGACUGGGCAACAUAGUGAAACCCCGUCUCUACUAAAAUACAAAAAAUUAGCUGGGUGUGGUAGUGUGCACCUGUGGUCCCUGCUACUCAGGAGGCUAAGGCAGGAGAAUUGCUUGAACCCAGAAGGCGGAGGUUGCAGUGAGCUGAGAUUAUGCCACUGCACUCCAGCCUGGGCGACAGAGCGAG